rnacentral:lncRNA from 1 species
AAGUGAGUUUUUCAUGGAUGUUUAUUUUUUUAUUUUAGAAAAAAAAUCAGUUGUUAUUUGUUUAACUUUGUUGAGGCAAUGGGUAAGAUAUAGGGAAAGGAAGAAACAAAUAUGACAUGAAAUAAUUGUGAUAAUGUUUCUCAACUCUUACAAUUUAUUUUACUAAGAUUAUGUUGGAACAUUUUCAUGGUGAUUUUAUGUAACAUUUGUUUCUUUCUCUCCUUAUAUCUGUCUCAUUACCACUAUAAACAAUAAGCUGAUUCUUUUCUUGAAAAUAAAUAUCUUUAAAAAGCUUUGGUAGAAAAAAAUAUAUUAUAACAAAUAAUAGAAGAAUAACUAUAUAUAAAAAGUAAAA